rnacentral:rRNA from 1 species
UACGAAGGGGGCUAGCGUUGCUCGGAAUCACUGGGCGUAAAGCGCACGUAGGCGGCUUUUUAAGUCAGAGGUGAAAUCCUGGAGCUCAACUCCAGAACUGCCUUUGAUACUGAGAGGCUUGAGUCCGGGAGAGGUGAGUGGAACUGCGAGUGUAGAGGUGAAAUUCGUAGAUAUUGGGAAGAACACCGGUGGCGAAGGCGGCUAUCUGGACCGACAUUGACGCUGAGGCGCGAAAGCGUGGGGAGCGAACAGG